GGAGAGCAUUCUGACACACUGACGUAGCUACGCCUGGAGGGGGAAAAGACAGCAAGAUGGAAAUCUAGGCACCAUAAUAACCCCAUUGAUUCGUGCACUGGCAUACUACUUCUGUUAGGGAAUAGACACUUUGUGGAAUCACCUAGGAGUCCCAGCCAAGAUCAGUGCCCCAUCGUGCGGGCACUGGAAAGACACAGCCCCUACCCCAAAGUCCUCACCAUCUCAUCAGACAAGACAGGCAAAGGGUGAAGAUUAAACAGAGGCACAGAGAGGAGAAGGGAUUUGCAUGUGGUCACAUGCAGAGUGCCAUCAAACAACUGUGUAUUGCACAUCCAAGGAUCUCACUUGGAUUUCCUUAGAAAAAUGCGUAUAUGUUGUUGAAGAAGCAGAAAAGACUCCAAGGAAUUUGAAGAUUGAGCUGUCUGGAAGCUGUGAAAACCAACCCAUAUGUACCCAAGCACUUCUGCGGACUAAGCAAGAGAUGCAGUUACACUGGCAACACUUUCCCAUCAAACAAGUGAAUAUCUGUUGAUCCUGAAGUACUGGUCUAGUGCACUCUAGUCCAGACGACACUGCCUCUCCAGUUUGUGUAAACAGAACUAGUGUUUGCUAAAAGGAGAAUUUUGGGGCAUUGGCUGGAGAGCUAAGCACCAGCAAGCCCCCAUUCUGCAGCUGUGAAAGAAGCAAUCUCUAGGAACCAUACUAGGAUGAAGACACUUCAGUGUGUGGACUAACUUCUGGGACUUCACAAGAUCUGCCAGAGGAAAUCAGCACACUGAACAGGAACUUAGUGGAUGGACGGACACGCACAGAAACACAAAACAAAUGGACAUACUCAUGCAGGUGGAAACAUGGAGAUUCACCCUAUUGUUUAGCCGCUGUUGUUGGUUGUCUGUUUAAUUGCUUAGCUCCUGAAGGAGAACAUGGGGAAUAGCCCCAUAUGUCAGCAGCCCGGCUGAAAAGUACUGCCAUAAAUUGUAUUAAGCCUGUAUGGAAAUCAAUCCAAGUAUUUCUUGGAUUUC